CCUUGAAAAUGAGAAGACUGGAUAGCUUCUGACUUCAACUAAAAUAAUAAAUAUUUGUCAUCCUCAUCAUAAACAAUUACGUUCAGUGCACAAGCAAUCACUUUCUAAGCAGGAAAAUUUGUGGAAAGUACCAAGAUUAACCAGAUUUAAUCCUUGCAAACCAAACAAAACCAGGAACAAAUCUGUACAGAAAGAAUUCUUGGGACAGACUACUAUGUCAUACAGCAAGAGCCCACCAAGGCCACCAGGCCAUGAAGAGCUGCCAGACACAGCAUUGUGGAAGUGCCCUGAAAACAAAGCAUUAGACUUCAUCAAGAACAAAAUUCUUCUUGGGUUUGCAUUUAUAAAGCUCAUUAUUGCACAGAGAAAUAAAUGUUCAAAAUAGGACUAAAUAGGUAGGAUCAGCAUAACCUAUACACCCGAUUAAAAAUGGCAAUAGACUAAAUUAAAGCAACAGACUAAGGAUAUUAGAUUAGAGGUAUGUUGAUGUUUUUAUUUUGCAAAAAACAAAAUGUUGUUUUAAGAUGAAAGCACUGAUAAAGUAUCCAGUUUAUAAAAAAGAAUUCUAAUGGUUGAAAGGAUGCAUUAUUUAUAAGGUAUUAAAUGUGUGUCUCUUCAUUCACAAUCACCCAUUCUUUUAUUGUUAAGCUAUAUAUAUAGCUUAGCAACUCCUAUAAAUGGUCCAAUAAACUGGCUUUCUUUUCCUUUAUGAAAACAUAAAAUAGCAUACAAG